rnacentral:rRNA from 1 species
AUUGAACGCUGGCGGCAUGCCUUACACAUGCAAGUCGAACGGUAACAGGUCUUCGGAUGCUGACGAGUGGCGAACGGGUGAGUAAUACAUCGGAACGUGCCUAGUAGUGGGGGAUAACUACUCGAAAGAGUGGCUAAUACCGCAUGAGAUCUACGGAUGAAAGCAGGGGAUCGCAAGACCUUGUGCUACUAGAGCGGCCGAUGGCAAAUUAGGUAGUUGGUGGGAUACAAGCUUACCAAGCCGACGAGCUGUAGCUGGUCUGAGAGGACAAUCAGCCAGACUGAGACAGAGAGAGAGCGCAGACUCCGACGGGGGGCAGCAGUGGGGAAUGUUGGACAAUGGGCGAAGGCCUGAUCCAGCAAUGCCGCGUACAGGAUGAAGGCCUUCGGUUUGUUAACUGCUUUUGUACGGAACGAAAAGCCCCGGGUUAAUACCCUGGGGUCAUGACGGUACCGUAAGAAUAAGCACCGGCUAACUACGUGCCAGCCGCCGCCGUAA